rnacentral:rRNA from 1 species
AUUGAACGCUGGCGGCAGGCCUAACACAUGCAAGUCGAGCGAGCGGCGGACGGGUGAGUAAUGUCUGGGAUACUGCCUGAUGGAGGGGGAUAACCCCUGGAAACGGUAGCUAAUACCGCAUACCCUCAGAUGUGCCCAGAUGGGAUUAGCUAGUGGGUGGGGUAAAGGCUCACCCAGGCGACGAUCCCCAGCUGGUCUGAGAGGAUGACCCGCCAGACUGGAACUGAGACACGGUCCAGACUCCUACGGGAGGCAGCAGUGGGGAAUAUUGCACAAUGGGCGAAAGCCUGAUGCAGCCAUGCCGCGUGUGUGAAGAAGGCCUUCGGGUUGUAAAGCACUUUCAGCGGGGAGGCGUUACCCGCAGAAGAAGCACCGGCUAACUCCGUGCCAGCAGCCGCGGUAAUAC